AGAGUUUGAUCCUGGCUCAGGAUGAACGCUAGCGGCAGGCCUAAUACAUGCAAGUCGAACGGUUGUAGCGAUACAAUAGUGGCGCACGGGUGCGUAACACGUAUGCAACCUACCUUAUAGACGGGGAUAGCCUUUGGAAACGGAGAUUAAUACCCGAUAGUACUAUUGACUGGCAUCAGUUAAUAUUUAAAGAUUUAUCGCUAUAAGCUGGGCAUGCGUCCAAUUAGUUAGUUGGUUAGGUAACGGCUGACCAAGACGAUGAUUGGUAGGGGAACUGAGAGGUUAAUCCCCCACACUGGCACUGAGAUACGGGCCAGACUCCUACGGGAGGCAGCAGUAGGGAAUAUUGGGCAAUGGAGGCAACUCUGACCCAGCCAUGCCGCGUGCAGGAUGAAGGCGUUAUGCGUUGUAAACUGCUUUUAUAUAGGAAGAAACAGACCUUGCGAGGUAAUUUGACGGUACUAUAUGAAUAAGCACCGGCUAACUCCGUGCCAGCAGCCGCGGUAAUACGGAGGGUGCAAGCGUUGUCCGGAUUUAUUGGGUUUAAAGGGUGCGUAGGCGGUUUAUUAAGUCAGUGGUGAAAGACGGUCGCUCAACGAUUGCAGUGCCAUUGAUACUGGUAGACUUGAGUGAGAUUGAGGUAGCUGGAAUGGAUAGUGUAGCGGUGAAAUGCAUAGAUAUUAUCCAGAACACCAAUUGCGUAGGCAAGUUACUAAGUCUCAACUGACGCUGAGGCACGAAAGUGUGGGUAUCAAACAGGAUUAGAUACCCUGGUAGUCCACACUGUAAACGAUGAUAACUAACUGUUGGCUUUCGGGUCAGGGUACAGAGAAAUCGU
rnacentral:rRNA from 1 species